GAUGAACGCUAGCGGCAUGCUUUACACAUGCAAGUCGAACGGUAACAGGCCGCAAGGUGCUGACGAGUGGCGAACGGGUGAGUAAUAUAUCGGAACGUGCCUUAGAGUGGGGGAUAACUAGUCGAAAGAUUAGCUAAUACCGCAUACGAUCUACGGAUGAAAGUGGGGGAUCGCAAGACCUCAUGCUCUUAGAGCGGCCG
rnacentral:rRNA from 1 species